rnacentral:rRNA from 1 species
CGGGACACGUGGUAUCCUGUCUGAAUAUGGGGGGACCAUCCUCCAAGGCUAAAUACUCCUGACUGACCGAUAGUGAACCAGUACCGUGAGGGAAAGGCGAAAAGAACCCCGGCGAGGGGAGUGAAAAAGAACCUGAAACCGUGUACGUACAAGCAGUGGGAGCACGCUUAGGCGUGUGACUGCGUACCUUUUGUAUAAUGGGUCAGCGACUUAUAUUCUGUAGCAAGGUUAACCGAAUAGGGGAGCCGAAGGGAAACCGAGUCUUAACUGGGCGUUAAGUUGCAGGGUAUAGACCCGAAACCCGGUGAUCUAGCCAUGGGCAGGUUGAAGGUUGGGUAACACUAACUGGAGGACCGAACCGACUAAUGUUGAAAAAUUAGCGGAUGACUUGUGGCUGGGGGUGAAAGGCCAAUCAAACCGGGAGAUAGCUGGUUCUCCCCGAAAGCUAUUUAGGUAGCGCCUCGUGAAUUCAUCUCCGGGGGUAGAGCACUGUUUCGGCAAGGGGGUCAUCCCGACUUACCAACCCGAUGCAAACUGCGAAUACCGGAGAAUGUUAUCACGGGAGACACACGGCGGGUGCUAACGUCCGUCGUGAAGAGGGAAACAACCCAGACCGCCAGCUAAGGUCCCAAAGUCAUGGUUAAGUGGGAAACGAUGUGGGAAGGCCCAGACAGCCAGGAUGUUGGCUUAGAAGCAGCCAUCAUUUAAAGAAAGCGUAAUAGCUCACUGGUCGAGUCGGCCUGCGCGGAAGAUGUAACGGGGCUAAACCAUGCACCGAAGCUGCGGCAGCGACGCUUAUGCGUUGUUGGGUAGGGGAGCGUUCUGUAAGCCUGCGAAGGUGUGCUGUGAGGCAUGCUGGAGGUAUCAGAAGUGCGAAUGCUGACAUAAGUAACGAUAAAGCGGGUGAAAAGCCCGCUCGCCGGAAGACCAAGGGUUCCUGUCCAACGUUAAUCGGGGCAGGGUGAGUCGACCCCUAAGGCGAGGCCGAAAGGCGUAGUCGAUGGGAAACAGGUUAAUAUUCCUGUACUUGGUGUUACUGCGAAGGGGGGACGGAGAAGGCUAUGUUGGCCGGGCGACGGUUGUCCCGGUUUAAGCGUGUAGGCUGGUUUUCCAGGCAAAUCCGGAAAAUCAAGGCUGAGGCGUGAUGACGAGGCACUACGGUGCUGAAGCAACAAAUGCCCUGCUUCCAGGAAAAGCCUCUAAGCAUCAGGUAACAUCAAAUCGUACCCCAAACCGACACAGGUGGUCAGGUAGAGAAUACCAAGGCGCUUGAGAGAACUCGGGUGAAGGAACUAGGCAAAAUGGUGCCGUAACUUCGGGAGAAGGCACGCUGAUAUGUAGGUGAAGUCCCUCGCGGAUGGAGCUGAAAUCAGUCGAAGAUACCAGCUGGCUGCAACUGUUUAUUAAAAACACAGCACUGUGCAAACACGAAAGUGGACGUAUACGGUGUGACGCCUGCCCGGUGCCGGAAGGUUAAUUGAUGGGGUCAGCGCAAGCGAAGCUCUUGAUCGAAGCCCCGGUAAACGGCGGCCGUAACUAUAACGGUCCUAAGGUAGCGAAAUUCCUUGUCGGGUAAGUUCCGACCUGCACGAAUGGCGUAAUGAUGGCCAGGCUGUCUCCACCCGAGACUCAGUGAAAUUGAACUCGCUGUGAAGAUGCAGUGUACCCGCGGCAAGACGGAAAGACCCCGUGAACCUUUACUAUAGCUUGACACUGAACAUUGAGCCUUGAUGUGUAGGAUAGGUGG